UGGGGAAUAUUGGACAAUGGGCGAAAGCCUGAUCCAGCCAUGCCGCGUGUGUGAAGAAGGCCUUUUGGUUGUAAAGCACUUUAAGUGGGGAGGAAAAGCUUAUGGUUAAUACCCAUAAGCCCUGACGUUACCCACAGAAUAAGCACCGGCUAACUCUGUGCCAGCAGCCGCGGUAAUACAGAGGGUGCAAGCGUUAAUCGGAAUUACUGGGCGUAAAGCGCGCGUAGGUGGUUAUUUAAGUCAGAUGUGAAAGCCCCGGGCUUAACCUGGGAACUGCAUCUGAUACUGGAUAACUAGAGUAGGUGAGAGGGGAGUAGAAUUCCAGGUGUAGCGGUGAAAUGCGUAGAGAUCUGGAGGAAUACCGAUGGCGAAGGCAGCUCCCUGGCAUCAUACUGACACUGAGGUGCGAAAGCGUGGGUAGCAAACAGGAUUAGAUACCCUGGUAGUCCACGCCGUAAACGAUGUCUACCAGUCGUUGGGUCUUUUAAAGACUUAGUGACGCAGUUAACGCAAUAAGUAGACCGCCUGGGGAGUACGGCCGCAAGGUAUA
rnacentral:rRNA from 1 species